AUAGAUAAUGUGAAUUUGUUAACCGUCUACAAAGUGAUCGAAGGAGAUGUGUUGAAGGAAUAUAAGAGUUUCAAGUUGACCGUUCAAGCUACACCUAAAGGAGAGAGCAGUGUGGUUCAUUGGACCUUAGAAUAUGAAAAGAUCCAUGAGAAUAUACGAGAUCCUUACUCCUUGCUAGAGUUUAUUGUCCAAUUUAGUAAGGAUGUUUCUGCUCAUCUCGUGAAAUGUCCGAAGAAAUAAUCAUGAACACGUUAUGCUUUAAUAUGUGAUUUGCAUAAUAAUUAAAUAAGUGCUCUAUAAUGAAGCACCAAUGACAAACAUAUUUGUGUAUGAACUUAUAUCUACAAUGUAUUACAUCUUAAAACUAUGUUUGUGUUUUUUUUAAUGAUUACGCUUCCUUUAUUAAUAUCUAUCUAAAUUUUUAAUGUCCGAUUGAUGUUGAUUCAUCUUGAUUUAAAUCUAUUUUUUAAAUUUUUUAUUAUAAAAAAUUAAAAAUUCAAAGCGAACUCUAACAACUUAAAAUUUAACAUAGAAUGAAAAAUACUCAUGAAAACUUAUCGACAUAAAUUAUGAUAUUCAUAUCUAGAAAUCUCUUCACCGGCUGUUUUCUCUGUUUCAAACAAUGAUUAGUAGCAUCAAAUCUAAUUUUCCUAGAAUUUUCAAUCAAUUUUAAGUUUAUCAAGAUGUAUUGAAAAAUAAUUAAGUACGAUACGUAAAAUUAGAAGACUAUGAUCUUAUGAAGGCACACUGAUAUAUAUCAUAAUUUAGAGGAUGUAGCCUUUGUUUGUUUAUAAAGAAUAAAAUUUUUAAAAAUAUUUGAUAUGAAAAAUAUUUUUUAAGAAUAAAAAUAAUUUUUAAGAAAUUUUUAUUUAUUAUUUAUAUUAAUAUAAAAAAAUAAAAAUAUGCAGCAAUCGCACAGAUAUAUAUAUAUAUAUUGUUUAAAAUAAAAGAAGAAAAUAUAAAUUUAUUUUUAUUAGAAUGAGAUAUAUAAUUAUUUAAGGCAUUAUAACAUUUUCCAUCCCAUAACACAAACCCUAAUUGAAAUCACUCACAAUAGUCAAUGCUUCAUAAUUGAGUAGGAAAGAUCUCUAAACAUAUAUAUAUAUAUAUAUAUAUGUAUAUAUAUUUAUAUAUGGCAACUAAGCUCAUGCAACUUCUAUAUAAGGAAAGCAAUGCCAAAGCAGAAACUCUCUCUCCACGUCUCCUUUUUCUUGAAAAGCAAAAAUGACUAUUGGGCAAAUUGGAGGCAGAUGUUGAGAUCAAUGCUCCAGCAGAUCAUUUCACGAUGUCUUUAGUUGCAGACCACACAUGUAUUCAAUAUUAGUCCCAAUAAAAUUGAUGGUUGUGAUCUCCAUGAAGGUGAAUGGGUAAGGAAUGCACCGUCGUUUGCUGGAGUUAUUUUCAUGAUAAGCCUUAAAUCUUCAAUUGAAACUUUCUUUAGCUUUUAUUUUAAUUUUUUUGUAAUUUUUAAAAAUUAUUAAUUAAGUAUUAAAAUGAAAAAUAAAUAGAUCUCGUAAAGUAGCUAAAGAGAUAAUUGAAGCCAUAAAUGAUGUGAACUUGUCAACCACCUUCAAAGUGAUUGAAGGAGAUCUAUUGAAGGAGUACAAAAGUUUCAAGUUGAUCAUUAAGCUACACCCAAGGGUGAGGGAAGUUUGAUGCAUUGGACUUUGAAAUAUGAAAAAAUCCAUGAGAAUAUACCAAAUCCUAAUACAUUAUUGGAACUACUUAUCCACUUAAGUAAAGAUAUUUCUGCUUAUCUCGUGGAAUGUCAAAAAGAAAUGAUCAUAGAUUAUGUUAUGUCAUAACGCGUGAUAUUUCUUUUAAUAAUUAAAUAAGUGCUCUAUAAUGAAGCACAAGUGGCUGGGACAUUUUGUUGCAGAAAAACUUGCCUAAAAUCUAUGUCAUGUGUUUGUGUUACUCUAUUAUUAUAUGUCUUUUAAUUUGAUAAAAUUAAAAAAUAGAGAUUAAAUCAUUUACUUUUAAAAAAAAAAUAAUUUAACAGCAUAAAGUAAGGAUUAAACUGUUAAUUUUAAAAUUUUAUGCGGUUAUAUAUUAAUUUUGACCUAAUUAUUUUAUAACAAGAAUUUGCAAUGGUCUCAUCCGUAGGAAAUUUGUAAUUAAUAUAUUUUAUUUAUUUUUAUAUAUUUAUUGUGUGUUGAGUAUAUUAUAAAAGGGUCCAACAUGCAAGUAAUAAUUCAAAAUUUGAAAAAUGUGAUCUAUUAUUUUGUCCCAAUUUGCAUGCAUAGAAGAUUUACUCCAAACGGAAAUAAGAUUUUUUUCCAUGGAAUUUUUUUUUUUUUUUUACAUUGCAGAGAAAAAAAUUACAAUUAAACAAUUAGGCGUUUCAGAGAAUAGGCCUAUUAAUCUGAAGGCAAUAUUUCUCAAAAACACAAAUUUGCAACAAUAUCAGUAAAAUUGUUUACGAACAUAGUGGUGUUACAUAACAUUAGUCCAAAAAAAGUUAUGAGUUGUCACAAUAGAAUAGGAAUCACGUGAUAAAAUUUAACAAGUAAAAAACAUUGUCUCACUACAGGAGGAAACCCGGAUACUUUAACACGCAGACUAUCGUCAAUACUCGCCCUCCUAGGAUAGGCCGAGUCUUGACAGAGUUACUGUUAUUAGGCACAUUUCUACUUUGUCAGAGAUCGUGGGAUUACUAAUCUAAUUAGCUGACGUUGUUCAUUAUUGAGCAGUCAGCCACAUUAUUGCCGAAUUUUCAGAAAACACUAUAUUUAUCUUCAUCCCUUACAGUAUAAAAUGAGAACGAUUUCAGAGAAAAUGUAUGCUAUUUCUAAUACUAUUCAAACUCUAAAUAAUCAUUCGCAUUCUCUUUGUUCUUCUAAACACUGAUUUCAGCAUCACAUAGACUGUCGUGGGCACCCACCACCACCUCACGUUUUCUCUCUUGUAGGUUCUGGCCAAUUACAGCUCAGUUCCAUUUCGACUACGUUAUCAAUCCAAUCUUAGCAACAUCAUUUGGUUCCAUUGUCGAGAAAGAUCCAUUAAACUCACUCCUGGAUUAGGCCCAAUUUCCUAUCGUCUUUCCUCACUCGAAAUGGCCGGAAACCCUACAGUUGCUGACAAUACCAUUACCAAUGAGGGGCUCAUCAUUUCCUCUAUCCCAAAUAACCGAGAGAACAUGCAUCCAGUGAUCAAUGAAGCGGACCUUAAUAAUUUGAAUAAUGAGCAGAUAAUCCAGUGUAUCUAAAGGUUGCAGGCCACUCUCGGGCAGUAUAAGACCUAAGAAGAGGCGUCUAAGAUGGACUCUGAAAGAAGAGAUGAGACUUCCGUAAACACCCCCAAAGCCAAGACGAAAGCACCUAAAAUGCGGCAUAAAGGUGUAACGAUCCGAAAACCGGACCGCUACCGGCGCUAGGAUCCAGAUCGACUUAAGGUCGCCGGAACCCGUAGCAAGCCUAACAUACAUCCUGUAUACCUGCUAAAAUCCCAUACAUGAUCAUACAUUUUCAUAAAAACUUUAAAUUUUUCAUAUACCAAGCUUAACCUGUGCAUGCAUCAUAACUGUAUACAUAAAACCCCUUACUGGAGCCCUCAUCAAAUGCUCCAGUUGGGUCAACAUCUCAUACAUCAAGCUUGGUUCAACAUAUAUCAUCAUUAAAAACAUUUCAUAAAGAUCAUAUACCAAAAGGGAUUAACCAUACAUUAGGGCCAAGCACAAUACUAAUCCGCAUUACAUUACUGAAUAAUACCUUACAUUACAUUACAUGUCAUUUCAUGUCCACUACUAAUCUAUUACAUGACAUAGCCAUUACCCUUGCUGACUUCCUGCUAUCUCUGACCCUGCAAACCUGGGGGUUAGGGGAAAAGGGUGAGCUACAAAAGCCCAGUGAGUAGAACAGUAAAACACAAUUUAAUAAAACACAUGCUUUCAUGAAAUGCGUCACAACUCAAACAAUUCACAACAAGGAUGGACUUGUCACCAAUAACCCUCUACAUAAUCCAAUGUGCCCGGCCCUCGACGGGGCUCCCUAGGACUUCCUCGUAAACAUAAUAUAAUGCCAGGACGCAUGACAUGGGCAGCCCUGGACUUUCUUACAUACCAUAUCAUAUCAUAUUGAGGGCUAGUGGGUCAUCCAAUAUCUAUCCACAACAACAACAAAUUAUGCAAUGCAUCAUAUUCGUGAAUUCUAAUGCCACAACCUAAUACAUAAACAUAGUAUCCAUGAUGCAUGAGCAUGCUUAAAAUUUUGAUUGCUUAAAAAAAGAAAGAGUUAUGUUCUACUCACCUCUGGCUGACUCUGGAACAGCUAACUCACUGUUGAUCACCUCGGUUCCUCAAGUCCGAUCCUACACAGGUGGACUCAAAUGAGGGACCAAACAUACUCUAACAUGACUCUAAACAUCUCCCCAAAAACCCCCUAAAACAUCAUAAAACAUGCACACAAAACAAGCAAAGGAAGGCUGAGCAGGGGACUUUCGACGGCAGGUUCGGCGGCCGAAGGUCCCUACAGAGCCGAAAGUCAGGCACUUUCGGGGGCAGGGUUCGGCGGCCGAAAGCCUUCACAGACUUGAAAGUCACCCACCUUCGGGGGCAGGUUCGGUGGCCGAAACUCCCCUCCAGAGUCGAAAGUCCAACUUUCAGGGGCGAGUUUAGGCGGCCAAAACUGCCUCCUCUGGCAGGUUCGGCGGCCAAACCUUGCUUCGGCGGCCGAACCUGGGUUCUCCAGGACGACAGAACCCGAUUUCGCCUCAUGUAUUCAGCCAUCCAAACCUCACCAACACCCAUCCAACUAUUCUAAAGCAUGCAUAAAUACAUAUUCAAGCUUAUAGGGGCUUAAAACUAGCCUAUACCCCCAACAAACAUCAACAUAGCAUCACAUUUAACAUUAAACUAACAUAAACCCUAACAUUUAGAUCUAAUCUAAACAUGCAUUAAACACCCUUAAAACCUCCUAAAACUUACUUAAAAUAUAAAAAGGUAUAGAUCUACACUUACCUCUUGAAGAUCGAGAUGAGAGGUGAUCCAAACUUGGAGAUUGGGAGAAAUCGAGCUCUGGGGGUCUCCAAGCUUCAAAACUUUGAUCGUAGCUUAAAAUCUUCAAAACAAAGGUAAAAACUCAUCAAGACUUGAAGGAAAUGAAGGAAAAUACAAAAUCAACCAAAGGAGGGCGAAAUCUCACCUAUGCCCGAAAAUAGAGAGAGAAAACUCAUCCAUUUUCGGAUAAGGGGCCUUUUAUAGGUGGCUGGCCAUACCACCUUCAGGGUCCAAAGGUGCUUCCACAAGAGCCCAAUGUUCGGCGGCCAAACAUGAGGUUCGGCGGCCGAACCUGAGGUUCGGCGGCCGAACCUGGCUUUUCCCUCCUUGGUCUUUUCUUUCAAAACUCAAUUUCUUUCUUCAUUAAAAUCAUAAAAAUAUAUAAAAACAUUUUAGAAAACCUUUAUUUUCCCCUUUUAGAAGGCUCCGACAUCCGAGAAUUUUGGAUUUCAAUGGAGAUUCCGCCAGAAGGUAGGAAUUCCGAUGCCGGGGUCUAGCCGGGUAUUUUAAACUCACUCCUGAAUCAGGCCCAGUUUCCUAUCAUCUUUCCUCACUCGAAAUGGCCGAAAACCCUACAGUUGCUGACAAUACCAUUACCAAUGAGGGGGUCAUCAUUUCCUCUAUCCCAAAUAACCGAGAGAACAUGCAUCUAGUGAUCAAUGAAGCAGACCUUAAUAAUUUGAAUAAUGAGCAAAUAAUCCAGUAUAUCUAAAGGUUGCAGGCCACUCUCGGGCAGUAUAAGACCCAAGAAGAGGCGUCUAAGAUGGACUCUGAAAGAAGAGAUGAGACUUUCGUAAACACCCCCAAAGCCAAGACAGAAGCACCUAAAAUGCGGCAUAAAGGUAAGUGUGAAUCUGAGGAUAAAUCAGAUGAGGUUUCAAAAGAAGUGAAUUGGAAGUUAGUACGAGCCAUACAAAGAUAUUAAAGAAAACAAGAAGAGGAUUAUAGUUUGGAUGGGGUCUCGCCUCUUUCGGAAAAAAUACUGGCGAAAACUUUUCCUGCUAAGUUCAAGUUGUCCUAUUUGGAUAAGUAUUAUGGGACGGAAGACCCUUGAAGCCAUCUAGCCAUUUUCAGGACGACCCUGGAGUUUCAAGAUUUAAAUAAUUUUGUGUUAUGCCGAAUGUUCGUGUCGACAUUCGCAGAUUUUUGAAACUUAUUAAUAAGUAUAAAAAUAAAAAAUUGAUUGAUCUCGCAAAGUGGCAAAAGAGGUGAGUGAAACUAUAGAUGAUGUGAACUUAUCAACCACUUAUGAAAUGAUCGUCAGAGAUCUAAUGAAGGAGUACAAGAGUUUCAAAGCUACCGUUCAAGCUACACCCAAAAGAAAUGGCAGUUUGGUGCAUUGGACCUUGUUAAUAUAAGAAGUUGAAUGAAAAUAUAUCAGAUCUCCAUACAUUAAUGGAAUUUCUUAUCCAUUGCAGUAAGGAUAUUUCUGCUCAUCUCGUGGAAUGCCGGAAGAAAUGAUCAUGGAAUAUGAUCAUCACAUAUUCAUAUCUAAGAAUCUCUUUGCUGUUUUUUCAGACAAUAAAUAAUCAAUUAGUAGCAUCUAUCGAUCUAGCUAAUUUUUUGAAAGUUUUCCAUCAAUUUUAAAUUUAUCAAUAUGUGUUGAUAAUUAAUUAUGAUACAUAAAAUCAGAGACCAUGAUUUUAUUCAUACAUAUUGUAAUAGACAUCAUAAUUUGGAGGCGGGAUUUAGAUUCUAUUUAUUUAUAAAAAAUAAAUUAUUGUCUUUAAAAAUAAUUUAAUAUUUUUAUCAGUAAAAUAAUUUUUAUCAAUCAUUUCUUUUGAGUAUUCUAUAAACAUAAAAAAAAAUUGAAAGAUAUUUUAGCCGCGUAAUUUCCUCUGUGAAAUUCAUUCAAGCUAGAAGUAGCAUAGCACUUUUAGAUUAUAAUAUAUAUUCACAUUUUCACUUAUUAAUUAUAUAUCUAUAUAAAUUAAAUAUGGGAUUUGCUAUAAUUUAAAAUAAUAUAUUAUUUAUUUAUGUAUCAUAUUUAUAUAUUAAAAUUUCUAUGGAAUUUUUCAUCAAAUAAUGCUCAACUCCUCUAUGUGUUAUGGCACCCUCUUCGAAUAGCUAGAAAUACCUAAUCUUAUUUAAAAAAUAAAUAUUUUAUUUAAACUUUAAUAUAAAUAUUUUAUUUAAUUAUUAAGAUUAACUCGCUUUCAUAUAUGAAUUUAAAUAAUUUAAUUAAAUUUUAACUAAAUUUUAAAAUAAAUUUAACAUUAAAAAUGAAAUAAAAUUAUCUUAUUAUUUCUAUUUGUGAUAAUUGUUUUAUCUCACUAAACUUAAAUAGAGUUAGAGAUGUAUCGUAUGAAAAAACUUGCUUAAACGUUGAGUUUCAAUUAGAUUUUUUUAAAUAAUUUUAUUUAGUUAAAGAACUCUAUUUAAUUACCAAUAAAAUAUAUGGAAGGAUUUGAGAUUUAGGUAAAGAAAUAUUAUAAUUCAAGAAUUAAACUAUUUGAUUUAUAAAUAAAAAAAAUAUUUUUAUUAAUUAAUUUAAGGACUGAAAAGUUACUUUAUUUAAACCAUACAAUAAAUAUUUGCCCAACUUUACAUAAUCUUAUCACAAAAAAAAAAAAAAAAAAUCAAUAAUUUUAAAACACUUUUUUACAAAUAUCGUAAGAGAUUAAAAGAAAUCUUAUCACUCAUUAUUAUUGCUCCUUUUCUUUAAAUUUUUAUUAUACUCAAAAUAUAAAGUAUAUUUAUAAAUUUUUUAUAAAUAAUUAUCAUAUAAUAAUAUCCAGAAAAAAAUAUCACAAAAAACAUUUCCCCCAAACAUUUGAAAAUACACUUUCACAAAUAUUGUCCCCGAUUAAGGAAUCCCUCUAUAUAUUUAAUUAUUUUUAUGAUUUAAUUAUUCAUAUAUUAACUUUAUUUUGAAUAUAUUUUUAUUUAUAUUUUUAUUGAAAUAUUGAAAUAUUGAAAUAUUUAUUGAUAACCUCCAGAUCUUUCCUAGCCCAGGAAUAAGGUCGGGUCCAAACGAAGGCCACAGGUCCAAAGCCCAUCAGAUCAUACGCUCGAGAGGCGGCUCGACUUCCGGCAACCCAGGAUGAUCCGGAUCAGAUAUGAGCACAAGCCCCAUAAGGGAGUAGGCUCACUCACUCACCAGCUCUACCCGCAUGCUCUCUGGAGAGCAUUAAAUGGCCGUUACGCAUGGAGCAGGUGCCUGACACGCCCGUACGUACGGGCCUGAGUGACAAGGACAGGAAGCACUAUAUAUCGGGGGGUCUUCUCUUGCAAGGGGGAUCAUCUUCUUUCUUUCCUCCUGCCUAGACUCCAUUUUUAUUUUCUCUCUGCAACUCUUACCUGGAUAUACUAUUCUUAUUCAUGAAACCUGACUUGAACGUCGGAGGGUCUCCGCCGGGGCAUCCCCGGUAGACCCCUGACUGUCUCCCAUUAUUUUGCCGGUCCUUUCAUCAAAUAGAACAUGGAGACCCAUUUGAUAGACCCAUCAGGGAGCCCAAAAAGGAAUCAGAUCCAGAUACCAGGGGACGAGGGAGAACCAGAUCUAUCAAAUAGAGAGCCCAGGGAGAGUCAGAGUUAUCAAAUGGCGCCAUCUAUGGGAACGAAGGAGAUCUUUUCGUCACCGGAGUUCCUAAAUCCACCCAUUGAGAUCCACAUGGAGGUAUGAAAGUUUAUACGAAAAGAAAGCUGGAGAUUUAUAAUAACCCAGCUGAAUAGCCUAGCUGAAAAGAAAGACCCAGCUGGUUCAAGAAUAUCUUGACAGUCUUUUAAUCUUCAUUUUCCUGCCCUCGUUGUUUAUUUUAACAUUUAUUAAAUUUUAUUACUACUAACUUUUUCUUUGAGAUCUGACGAGGUGAAACUUCAGAUCGAAAUGCUUGUUUAUGAAUAUAGAUUUUAAUUUUUUCUAUAAAAAGAAAAAAGAAUCAAUGAUAUAUAUAUUUUGUGAGUUGGCUGUGUAUAUAUUGCCGAGGAGAAGGGGCAGAUCGGCUGUAAAAUCCCAGUUUAGCAAGUUAGAAAGAAGAUUAAUAAAUAAAAAAUAGGCGAGGUAGGACUAACAUUUCAGGUCGGAUGGGCAUGAGGUCGGAAGGGACACGAUUCAGGGCCAUCCAACUUGGAUGCAGAGCAGCGCCCCUCAAGUAUCGGGCAAUCUGGAGACAAUCGAAAAUGAUCAAAUACCCAGGCAGGUCAAAGUGGAUAAGCUCGGACUCGGUAUGUCGUCCAGCUCGAAGACAAGGUGAACUGAGAUACCCAGGUCGGCAUGGUCGGCAUUAGUCCGUCUGACUGUCGAGAGAACGACAGACACGACAGACUGAUCAAGCACCACUAGUAGGACCGUUAAUAGUUUCGCUGGUCGGAGUAGCAGAACUGAAAAGAGCUCGAUUAAUCCAAUAAUCACAGUAUUGUGAGUGAAGGCACGUCGGCUUGAGAAGGAAUAACUGGUGGAAUUUCACUAAAAUCAAAAACAUCGUUAAGAUAUUACACGUUGAAGUCGGACCCGUGCGCGAAAUUAGAUCCGUACUCGAGAUCGUGCUCGAGAUCGGAGCCCUGUUUGAGGAAAAGAACAUAGUAAAAUUGCCUGGUUACAGAGGGGAAAGCGUGAGUGGAGAUGCUUUCAACAAGAAGUCAAGAAUUCUUAACCCGCACAGGAUGGUCAGGGCUCACGGCCAAUCAGCAACAACUUUUCUUUUUUCUUCUUUUUCAUCAUUGUUUGGAAAAUCUAUUGUUUGAAAGAGUGAAAAUUGGGAAUCUACCGCUUUGGGUUCACGAUGACAGUGACCUCAUGCCCAAUGAACGGCGUCGGGACGGCUGGCGCUGGAAGGUGACAAUCCAAUGUCGCGUCCAGUCAUUGGUAUCACCGGCGAAGCCCGAAGCCAUGCGUCGUAACAGCCGGGAAAGCUCGGUUGUCUCAAGGACGGGGGAAGACAACUACGGGAGAUCGCGAGGUCUCUUGCGAUGCCUUCGACUUCAUACGCGCCGGCAGCGGAAAGGAAAGCAGGCGAAGCGCAAAUGUUGCUCUGUCAUUGGCAAUCCGGGCUGGCGACAGCAGCGGGUCGGCUGUGCAGGCACUUGGGUGGAGAUCGGCAUCUGCUAAGGAAGAAGGAAAGAGAAGAGACACUUGAAAAAGUCAACAUGGGCAAUUGCUUUGGGUCUCCCUCUAGCUCCUCUUUCACCACCACCAAUCCUCUCACCCCAGGGUCAUCAAAUAACACCACUACCACCAGCAAUUUCUCAGCCUCAAGCAGCAGUGCAGGUAAGAGUCAAUUCUCUGCUGCGGUAAGUGAAGUGAAUGAUAAGCCAAAUCCAAACGGCCAAAUUUUGGAAGCACCAAACUUGAAGGAGUUCACCUUUGCUGAUUGGAUGAGUGCCACAAAGAAUUUCAAGCCAGACACUUUGUGGGGUCAAGGUGGUUUUGGUAAAGUUUACAAAGGAUGAAUAGAUGAAAAGACUUUUACACCCUCCAAAACUGGCAUUGGAAUGGUGGUUGCUAUCAAGAAAUUAAACUAAGAAAGUAUGCAAGGGCUUCAAGAGUGGCAGGUAAUGAUUUUUAAUUUCAGUUAUACUAUUAUCCUUAAAAAGAAAAAGGAAAAUAUUAAAAAUAACAAUUAAUUAUCCUGCUUAUAGAGAGACCGUCAUAAUUUGCCAUCUAGAAUAAUUUACAUUCAAUGUCAUUAUAAAUGAUUUUCUAAAACUAGCGUACCCACAAUUCACUCCUACUGCAAGCAAUUAAUUACUAUCAAUCAUUACAACUGGAUCAAAAUCGAGAGUUUUUUGCACUGCUUUCACUAUAUUUCUCGUUUUGCAGUUAUUAUUAAUUACAGAAUUAUAAAGUGUAAAUAAUACUUAUACUUUUCACAAUAUUUUACAUGUUCAAGCAUAGUAUUUUAUAAAUUGUUCAUCUGAAGUAUGAAACUAAGUAACAUGUGCGACAUAUUAUUUAUUGAUGAAUAUUAUUGAAUUAACAAUGAGUCUUCUCGUUAUAUACGUUCUGUGCAAGCUCUUAUUUUGCAGAAAAAUUCAGAAAAAAGAGUAAGGCCAAAAAGCCUUAAUCUUACGCAAGACCUCAGUGAGGUAGGUGGCUGGGCUCCCAAAAGGCCCCCGGCACCACAAAACCGGCUGAGAUGAUGAAGCGACAGUAAGGCCAAUGAGCCUGAAUCCCAUGCAAGGCUAAAGAGCCUGGAAGCGACAGUAAGGCCAAUGAGCCUGAAUCCCAUGCAAGGCUAAAGAGCCUGGAAGCUACAGUAAGGCCAAAGAGCCCGAAUCUUGUGAAAAACCUCAAGAAGGUAUAAGGCCGGCGGAUCUCAAAGAUCUCCCGGAGUAAAAACGGCCGGUGAGGAUCUUAAAAGACCUCCCGGAGCAUGAAGACCAGGAUCCCCUAGAACUCUCGGGAAAACAAAGAAGACCAGGAUCCCCUAGAACUCCCGGGUAAACAAAGAAGACCGGGAUCCCCUAGAACUCCCGGGAAAACAAAGAAGACCGGAAUCCCCAGAACUCCCGGGAAAACAAAACAAAGAUCACAGCGGAUUCAAUAGAAGACCUCAAUGAGGUCCUGGCAAAAGAAGACCUCACUGAGGUCCUGGCAAAAGAAGACCUCACUGAGGUCCUGGCAAAGAAGACCUCACUGAGGUCCUGGCAAAAGAAGACCUCACUGAGGUCCUGGCAUGAGAAGACCUCAAUGAGGUCCUGGCAAAGAAGACCUCAAUGAGGUCCUGGCAAAAGAAGACCUCACUGAGGUCCUGGCAAAAGAAGACCUCACUGAGAAGACCUCAAUGAGGUCCAGGCAAAAGAAGACCUCACUGAGAAGACCUUAAUGAGGUCCUGACAAAAGAAGACCUUAAUGAGGUCCUGGCAAAGAAGACCUCAAUGAGGUCCUGGCAAAAGAAGACCUCAAUGAGGUCCAGGCAAAAGAAGACCUCACUGAGAAGACCUCAAUGAGGUCCUGGCAAAAGAAGACCUCAAUGAGGUCCAUGCAAAAGAAGACCUCACUGAGAAGACCUCAAUGAGGUCCUAGCAAAAGAAGACCUCACUGAGGUCCUGGCAUGAGAAGACCUCAAUGAGGUCCUGGCAAAGAAGACCUCACUGAGAAGACCUCAAUAAGGUCCUAGCAAAGAAGACCUCAAUGAGGUCCUAGCAAAAGAAGACCUCAAUGAGGUCCAGGCAAAAGAAGACCUCACUAAGAAGACCUCAAUGAGGUCCUGGCAAAAGAAGACCUCACUGAGAAGACCUCAAUAAGGCAGAAGACCUCAGAAGACCUCACUGAGGCAGAAGACCUCACUGAGGCAGAAGACCUCAAUGAGGCAGCAGACCUCAGAANNNNNNNNNNNNNNNNNNNNNNNNNNNNNNNNNNNNNNNNNNNNNNNNNNNNNNNNNNNNNNNNNNNNNNNNNNNNNNNNNNNNNNNNNNNNNNNNNNNNNNNNNNNNNNNNNNNNNNNNNNNNNNNNNNNNNNNNNNNNNNNNNNNNNNNNNNNNNNNGUCCUGGCAAAAGAAGACCUCACUGAGGUCCUGGCAUGAGAAGACCUCAAUGAGGUCCUGGCAAAGAAGACCUCAAUGAGGUCCAGGCAAAAGAAGACCUCACUGAGAAGACCUCAAUGAGGUCCUGGCAAAAGAAGACCUCAAUAAGGUCCUGGCAAAAGAAGACCUCACUGAGGUCCUGGCAUGAGAAGACCUCAAUGAGGUCCUGGCAAAAGAAGACCUCACUGAGGUCCUGGCAUGAGAAGACCUCAAUGAGGUCCUAGCAAAGAAGACCUCAAUGAGGUCCAGGCAAAAGAAGACCUCACUGAGAAGACCUCAAUGAGGUCCUGGUAAAAGAAAACCUCACUGAGAAGACCUCAAUGAGGUCCUGGCAAAAGAAGACCUCAAUGAGGCAGAAGACCUCAGAAGACCUCACUGAGGCAGAAGACCUCACUGAGGCAGAAGACCUCACUGAGGCAGAAGACCUCACUGAGGCAGAAGAUCUCACUGAGGCAGAAGACCUCAAUGAGGCAGAAGACCUCACUGAGGCAGAAGACCUCAAUGAGGCAGAAGACCUCAGAAGACCUCACUGAGGCAGAAGACCUCACUGAGGCAGAAGACCUCACUGAGGCAGAAGACCUCAAUGAGGCAGAAGACCUCAAUGAGGCAGAAGACCUCACUGAGGUAGAAGACCUCAGAAGACCUCAAUGGGGCAGAAGACCUCACUAAGGCAGAAGACCUCACUGAGGCAGAAGACCUCACUGAGAGGUAGAAGACCUCACUGAGGUAGAAGACCGCACUGAGGUAGAAGACCGGCGAAGAUCUCAAAGAUCUCCCGGAGCAAAAAUGGCCGGAAUCCCCAAGAUCAUCCGGUGCUACAAGCAAAAACAACUCAUAAGAACAUAGUUCUGAUCUCACAUAAAAGAUUGGGGCACGGGACCAUAAAUGAAAAGCUAAACUCCGACCUCCCAAAGGAGCUCGAGUCAUCAGGUAGAGAGACUUUAAUCUCACAUAACAGCCAAAAGUGUCAAAACACCAUGACGAUCUCAAGAAAAUGAGCUAGGUACUGGUAAACACAAUAGGCAGCCCGAAUAUGGCUCAACAAGAGAGUAAGAAAUUAAGUUCGACUUCACAAAAGAGCUCGGGGCACCAAAGUAAAGAAAGUGAAAUUCCAAACUUCAGAGCUCGCGAUAUAGACACCAUCACAGGCUAUAGGCACAAAAGCCUAAGCGAAAAGCAAAGAACCGAGCUCCCAGCUCAGAUGAACUCGCAACAGGAAAACACUCAAGUAGAAUAAAGCUAAAUACAGAAGAAAUAACAGAGAACCGAGCUCCCUCUACGAAAAGGCCCCCAAAUGCAGGAACGCAUAAAAGGAUAAACGAAGGCGAAGGACCAUGCUCACAUCUCGGAUUAACUCACAAUAAAUAGACAUUCAGCAAGAAUAACCCAGGAAGAGGAAAACAACAAAAGAAUGAGUACUCUAUCCCAGUGGAGCUCACAACUCAAACCACACCGACUACCAGAAAGUUAUCUCAAGAGGAACAAGGUAUUAUAUUCCUGAGCUCGCAACAAUGACGAGAUCGUGAGCCAAAAACAGAAAUGCCCUCAUGAGAAUAAGAAAAACUCGCAAGUCAGAAGCUUAACCAGACUCCGAACUCUUAGCCCGGAUCGGUUCGACCAGUAAAGACCCAGUAGAGCCGGCAUGGUCAUUAGUGGAGCCUAAGUAUUUACCCCCUCACCAGUCAUGGAAUAACUGCUGAGGAGGUAAAGGGGCAAUUGAUAACCUCCAUAUCUUUCCUAGCCCAGGAAUAAGGUCGGGUCCAAAAGAAGGCCACAGGUCCAAAGCCCAUCAGAUCAUACGCUCGAAAGGCGGCUCGACUUCACGAGCCUGGGCCGGCAACCCAGGAUGAUCCGGAUCAGAUAUGAGCACAAGCCCCAUAAGGGAGUAGGCCCACUCACUCAUCAGCUCUACCCGCAUGCUCUCUGGAGAGCAUUAAAUGGCCGUUACGCAUGGAGCAGGUGCCUGACACGCCCGUACGUACGGGCCUGAGUGACAAGGAUAGGAAGCACUAUAUAUCGGGGGGUCUUCUCUUGCAAGGGGGAUCAUCUUCUUUCUUUCCUCCUGCCUGGACUCCAUUUUUAUUUUCUCUCUGCAACUCUUGCCUGGAUAUACUAUUCUUAUUCAUGAAACCUGACUUGAACGUCGGAGGGUCUCCGCCGGGGCAUCCCCGGUAGACCCCUGACUGUCUCCCCUUAUUUUGCAGGUCCUUUCAUCAAAUAGAACAUGGAGACCCAUUUGAUAGACCCAUCAGGGAGCCCAAAAAGGAAUCAGAUCCNNNNNNNNNNNNNNNNNNNNNNNNNNNNNNNNNNNNNNNNNNNNNNNNNNNNNNNNNNNNNNNNNNNNNNNNNNNNNNNNNNNNNNNNNNNNNNNNNNNNNNNNNNNNNNNNNNNNNNNNNNNNNNNNNNNNNNNNNNNNNNNNNNNNNNNNNNNNNNNNNNNNNNNNNNNNNNNNNNNNNNNNNNNNNNNNNNNNNNNNNNNNNNNNNNNNNNNNNNNNNNNNNNNNNNNNNNNNNNNNNNNNNNNNNNNNNNNNNNNNNNNNNNNNNNNNNNNNNNNNNNNNNNNNNNNNNNNNNNNNNNNNNNNNNNNNNNNNNNNNNNNNNNNNNNNNNNNNNNNNNNNNNNNNNNNNNNNNNNNNNNNNNNNNNNNNNNNNNNNNNNNNNNNNNNNNNNNNNNNNNNNNNNNNNNNNNNNNNNNNNNNNNNNNNNNNNNNNNNNNNNNNNNNNNNNNNNNNNNNNNNNNNNNNNNNNNNNNNNNNNNNNNNNNNNNNNNNNNNNNNNNCAAAGGAAUCCCUCUAUAUAUUUAAUUAUUUUUAUGAUUUAAUUAUUCAUAUAUUAAAUUUAUUUUGAAUAUAUUUUUAUUUAUAUUUUUAUUGAAAUAUUGAAAUAUUUAUAAUUUCAAAUUAGUUUAUAAGUAUUUAUAUUAUCAUUUUAAUUUAUUUUCUAUUAUUUAACUAUUUAAAUUAUUAAACUUACAUAAAUUAUUAUCAUUCUCUUUUUUAAAUAAUUUUAAAAUUAAUUUUUCAUUGCAAAUGAAAUUUAAUUUAUUAUUUAAUGAAAUGUCAACUAUAUUACAUCUUAUUUUUCCUCUAUCUUCUUGCCUUUUCCUUAACCAAUAUUUUAGGAUACAUUACCUUAAUAAUAAUAAUAAUAAUUUUAAUGAAAGAAAAUUAUUUAAGGCAUUUGCAAUAUUUUUCAUCCCAUAAUACACAUUCUAAUUGAAAUCACUCAAAAUAGUCACAGCUUAAUAAUUGAGUAGGAAAAUAUCUCAAAUGACAAUUAGGCUCAUGCCACUUCUAUAUAUAGAAAGCAAUGCCAAAGGACUUCAUGCAUCAUUAGAUUCAUCAGUGAUCAUAAGCAUCACCAGAAACUCACUCUGUAUCUUUCUUUUUUCAAAAACUAAAAAUGACACUAUGGGGCAAAUUAGAGAUACAUUUUUGGAUUGAUGCGCAGAUCAGUUUCAUGAUGUCUUCAGUUCCCGACCAUACCUUAUACCCAAUAUGUCCCCUCACAAAAUUCUUGGUGUUGAUCUUCUUGAAGGUGAAUGGGGUAAGGAAGGCUCUAUUAUCUGCUGAAAAUAUUUCUAUGGUAAGCGUUUAAUCUUUUUCAAUUGUAAUUUUCUUUUUUUAAAAAAAAAUUAUUAAUCAAGUAUAAAAAUGAAAAACAGAUGGGUCUGUUACCGUGGCUAAGGAUCUAAUUGAAACCAUAGAUAAUGUGCAUUUGUUAACCGUCUUCAAAGUGAUCGAAGGAGAUGUUUUAAAGGAAUAUAAGAGUUUCAAGUUGACCGUUCAAGCUACACCUAAAGGAGAGGGCAGUGUGGUACGUUGGACCUUAGAAUAUGAGAAGAUCCAUGAGAAUAUACGAGAUCCUUACUCCUUGCUAGAGUUUAUUGUCCAAUUUAGUAAGGAUGUUUCUGCUCAUCUCGUGAAAUAUCCGAAGAAAUGAUCAUGAACAUGUUAUGCUUUAAUAUGUGAUUUGCAUAAUAAUUAAAUAAGUGCUCUAUAAUGAAGCACCAAUAAGACACUUAUUUGUGUAUGAACUUAUAUCUACAAUGUAUUACAUCUUAAAACUAUGUUUGUGUUUUUUUUUUAAUGAUUACGCUUCCUUUAUUA
rnacentral:lncRNA from 1 species